GACGAACCGUGCGAACGUUGUUCGGAAUCACUGGGCUUAAAGGGCGCGUAGGCGGACUGCCAAGUCCGGGGUGAAAUCCUCCGGCUUAACCGGAGAAUUGCCUGGGAUACUGGCGGUCUUGAGGGAGGUAGGGGCACGCGGAACUUCCGGUGGAGCGGUGAAAUGCGUUGAUAUCGGAAGGAACGCCGGUGGCGAAAGCAGCGUGCUGGCCCUCUUCUGACGCUGAGGCGCGAAAGCCAGGGGAGCGAACGGG
rnacentral:rRNA from 1 species